rnacentral:rRNA from 1 species
UACAGAGACUGCAAGCGUUAUUCGGAUUCACUGGCGUAAAGGGUGCGCAGGCGGUCGGGUGUGUCAGAUGUGAAAUCCCGAGGCUCAACCUCGGAACUGCGUCUGAAACUACUCGACUAGAGUACUGGAGAGGGUAACGGAAUUCACGGUGUAGCAGUGAAAUGCGUAGAUAUCGUGAGGAACACCAGAGGCGAAGGCGGUUACCUGGACAGUUACUGACGCUCAGGCACGAAAGCAUGGGGAGCAAAAGGG